AUUGAACGCUGGCGGCAGGCCUAACACAUGCAAGUCGAGCGGAUGAAGUGAGCUUGCUCCUGGAUUCAGCGGCGGACGGGUGAUUAAUGCCUAGGAAUCUGCCUGGUAGUUGGGGAUAACGUCCGGAAACGGGCGCUAAUACCGCAUACGUCCUGAUGGAGAAAGUGGGGGAUCUUCGGACCUCACGCUCUCAGAUGAGCCUAGGUCGGAUUAGCUAGUUGGUGGGGUAAAGGCCUACCAAGGCGACGAUCCGUAACUGGUCUGAGAGGAUGAUCAGUCACACUGGAACUGAGACACGGUCCAGACUCCUACGGGAGGCAGCAGUGGGGAAUAUUGGACAAUGGGCGAAAGCCUGAUCCAGCCAUGCCGCGUGUGUGAAGAAGGUCUUCGGAUUGUAAAGCACUUUAAGUUGGGAGGAAGGGCAGUAAGUUAAUACCUUGCUGUUUUGACGUUACCAACAGAAUAAGCACCGGCUAACUUCGUG
rnacentral:rRNA from 1 species